rnacentral:rRNA from 1 species
UACAGAGGUCUCAAGCGUUGUUCGGAUUCAUUGGGCGUAAAGGGUGCGUAGGUGGCGUCGUAAGUCGGGUGUGAAAUUUCGGGGCUCAACCCCGAACUUGCAGUGGGUACGGGCAGACUAGAGUGUGGUAGGGGAGACUGGAAUUCCUGGUGUAGCGGUGAAAUGCGCAGAUAUCAGGAGGAACACCGGUGGCGAAGGCGGGUCUCUGGGCCGAUACUGACGCUGAGGAGCGAAAGCGUGGGGAGCGAACAGG